AUGCCAAGUCUGUCGUUGAGCACUACCAGACCGUCAGUGCCUGCAACCAAAGCGGAAGAUCAUCAGGGCACCGAAGCAGCAAGGGCCGAAGCAGAAGGCAGUAAGAUGGCAGCAUUGCAUUCUUUAAAGCAUGCCCGAGGCUUGUGUUUUAAAUGUGGCGAACGAUGGGGCAAGGAUCACACAUGUCCUCCUACUGUGCAGAUGCAUGUAGUGGAGGAACUAUUGGAGCUCUUUGCAAAAGAAGAGGUGUUAGUGGGAAACAAUCACGAACCAAACGAGCUGGACGAAGACAACCUUUGCACCAUUUCCAAGCAGGCGGUGGACGGGUCUGCCGGGCUGGGUGUGAUGCAACUGCACGCAUGUAUUCAAGGGAAGGAAAUGUCAUUACUGGUUGACUCGGGCAGCUCCUCCUCAUUUGUCGACCAUCAUAUCACAGCCAAGCUAUCGGGAGUGUGCAAACUGCCCAAGACAUGCAGAGUUAAAGUGGCAGAUGGUGUUGUGUUGAGCUGUGACAGCUUCAUACCACAGUGCCAAUGGACAUCACAGGGGCAUGAUUUUAUAAUAGAUUUCAAACUACUAUCACUUGGAGCUUAUGAUGCUAUCUUAGGGAUGGAGUGGCUCAAGAAACACAACCCUAUGAACAUUGAUUGGGAGGCGCAGCAUAUGACAGUUACAAUGGAGGAAGGGCUGGUUGAAUUGCAAGCAGUUACCAAUGCUCAAGAAUGA
rnacentral:rRNA from 1 species